GACGAACGCUGGCGGCAUGCCUAAUACAUGCAAGUCGAGCGAACAGAUGAAGUGCUUGCACUUCUGACGUUAGCGGCGAACGGGUGAGUAACACGUAAGGAAUCUACCUAUAAGCGGGGGAUAACAUUCGGAAACGGGUGCUAAUACCGCAUAAUAUCUUCUUCCGCAUGGAAGAAGAUUGAAAGACGGCUCUGCUGUCACUUAUAGAUGACCUUGCGGUGCAUUAGUUAGUUGGUGGGGUAAUGGCCUACCAAGACGAUGAUGCAUAGCCGACCUGGGAGGUGGAUCGGCCACAUUGGGACUGAGACACGGCCCAAACUCCUACGGGGGGCAGCAGUAGGGAAUCUUCCGCAAUGGGCGAAAGCCUGACGGAGCAAUGCCGCGUGAGUGAAGAAGGCCUUCGGGUCGUAAAACUCUGUUAUAAGAGAAGAACAAAUUGUAGAGUAACUGCUACAGUCUUGACGGUAUCUUAUCAGAAAGCCACGGCUAACUACGUGCCAGCAGCCGCCGCGG
rnacentral:rRNA from 1 species